UAGUCUAUCUCCUGUGAUGGAGACAGUGAUAUCAAGAAAGGGGAGGGAGGUGUCGGAGAUGGUCCAAGUGAAUUUGAGUACAGGAUGGAAAUUGGUAGUGAAGUUAAUAAAGUCCAUGAGUUCCGCCUGGGUGCAGGUGGUAGCCCCGAUGCAGACAUCAAUUUUGGAUG